CAGCCGUAAACUAUGCGCGUUAGGUGUAUCGGUGACCACGAGUUACCGAGGUGCCGAAGGGAAACCGUGAAACGUGCCGCCUGGGAAGUACGGUCGCAAGGCUGAAACUUAAAGGAAUUGGCGGGGGAGCACCACAACAGGUGGAGCCUGCGGUUUAAUUUGGACUCAACGCCGGGAAGCUCACCGGAUAGGACAGCAGAAUGAUUGCCGGGCUGAAGACCCUGCAUGACUAGCUGAGAGGAGGUGCAUGGCGUAGACGUCU
rnacentral:rRNA from 1 species